CUGGUGAGAUCAGCCUCCUCUGACCCAAGAAGAUGCUCUCCCUCCUGAGUGAUGGAGAGUUCUUCCUCUUCCUCUUUAACAUAGGGGGGCUGUGGCUCCGCCUCUUCUUCUUUAACGUCGGUGAGGUGUGGCUCCUCCUCUUCCUCUUUAACAUAGGGGGGCUGUGGCUCCACCUCUUCCUCUUUAAAGUGGGUGGGCUGUGGCUCCUCCUCUUCCUUUUUAACGUUGGGGUCCUCUGACUCCGCCUCUCUCAUCUCCUCACUUGGACUAGAUGAAGCUGUGAGGAUUCAGGUGGUUUGUCUUCAGGGUCUUCGGUCACCACAGAGACACCAGUCAGUGGCAACCUGGGGCCUUGAACGUGCAUGUGGACGUAGCUGAUGACAGGCAUGCUGAAGAACUCACUGCUGUCCUUGAAAUGUGUGGUCUAACGCAGCAUGUGACUGAACCUACCCACAGCAGGGGGCACACUCUUGAUGUGAUCAUUACUAAGGGUGUUUCUAUUUUAAAUGUGAAUGUUGCUUUA